GUUCCGGUUUGCAGCAUCUCUUUCUCUUUCCGUGUUAAAAGUUCAACGAGGCAACACGCUUGUGUUGGUCCCGCUGUGAGCCAAAAUGGUGAACCACCGUACUCCUUCGGUUUUCUCGAAGACUUACGUUACUCCACGCCGUCCGUUUGAAAAGCCGCGUCUCGAUGCGGAAUUGAAGAUUAUCGGCCAGUACGGUCUACGUAACAAGCGUGAAGUAUGGCGUGUAAAGUACACGCUGGCCAAGAUCCGCAAGGCUGCCCGUGAGUUGCUCACGCUGGAAGAGAAGGACGAAAAGCGUCUGUUUCAAGGUAAUGCCCUGUUGCGUCGUCUGGUGCGUAUUGGCGUGUUGGAUGAAUCCCGCAUGAAGCUCGAUUACGUUCUCGGUUUGAGGAUCGAAGAUUUUCUGGAACGCCGUCUGCAGACGCAGGUGUUCAAGCUGGGAUUGGCCAAGUCCUACCAUCACGCUCGUGUUCUGAUUCGCCAGAGACACAUUCGUACUCUAGAGAGAUUUUGUAUUGGUCUCGUACCAAUGCAAAUGAUCGUGAGUGCCACUUAGAUUCUGUUGGAUCAGAUGAUCUUUCGGUUUCUAACGCCUCACACAAAUUCAGUUCCCAUGGUGUGUAGCCUAAUGGUCUGGUUGCCUUUGAGUUUCUAAGGAAGAGUACUCACUAGCCCAGAUUUCGGGAUCAUCACCAUGGCGAAUAUGAAAAUUCUCUACUGAGUUGUUCGUCCCCUGUUGUCGGAAGCAAAAAUGAGACGUAUUAUUUCCACGUGCAAGAUGCUGGAACGCAUCAUAGCUCAACGGAGAGUCGCACGUAUGACUCCUUUUGGAUGAGUGUCCGUAAGCAGGUCGUGAACAUUCCUUCGUUCAUUGUCCGUCUGGAUUCGCAGAAGCACAUUGACUUCUCACUAAAGUCACCAUUCGGUGGUGGUCGUCCAGGUCGCGUCAAGAGGAAGAACCUGAAGAAGGGCCAGGGUGGCGGCGGUGGUGC